rnacentral:tRNA from 1 species
UCCUGGUUAGCUCAGUCGGUAUAGAGCGCUCCACUUGGAAUGGAGAGGUCCUGGAUUCGAUACCCGGACCUGGCG